CGGGUGGUGGCUCAGUUUGGCAGAGCGCUGCGUUCGGGACGCAGAGGUCGGAGGUUCAAAUCCUCUCCACCCGACCA
rnacentral:tRNA from 1 species